rnacentral:rRNA from 1 species
AACGAACGCUGGCGGCAUGCUUAACACAUGCAAGUCGAACGAGACCUCCGGGUCUAGUGGCGCAAGGGUGCGUAACGCGUGGGAACCUGCCCUUAGGUUCGGAACAACUCCCUGAAAGGGGUGCUAAUAACGGUUAAUGUCUUCGGACCAAAGAUUUAUUGCUUUUGGAUGGGCCCGCGUUGGAUUAGCUAGUUGGUAGGGUAAAAGCCUAUCAAGGCGACGAUCCAGGGCUGGUCUGAGAGGAGGAUCAGCCACACUGGGACUGAGACACGGCCCAGACUCCUACGGAGGGCAGCAGUAGGGAAUAUUAGGCGAUGAGCGAAGACCUGAUCCAGCAGUGCCGCGGAAGUGAUGAAGGCCUUAGGAUUGUAAAGCUCUUUUAGCCGAAGUGAUAGUGACAGUACCGGGAGAAUAAGCACCGGCUAACUCCGUG